rnacentral:lncRNA from 1 species
AUGGCAGACCAGCACCUACGCGGGGGACAACAUCGUCACGGCCGUGUCCACCUACCAAGGACUAUGGGGCAGCUGCGUCAGCACCAGCACCGGGCAGCUGCAGUGCAAGGCCUACGACUCACUGCUGGCACUGCCAGUGCACACAGUGCGGGGACCCCAAUAAGAAGGGACGCAUGGCGGGAACCGGGGGAGGCGGAAGCGUUUGUCAUCGCAGGGCUGUGUUCCCUGGUGGCCUGUUCCUGGUACGCGCAUCGCAGUCCUGCUACCGCGUCGAUGAGCUGCCGCUCUCAAAACCGGUGGGCAGGGCCGAAUCAACUGCUAUCACCGACUUCUACAACGCCGCUGCAUCCCCGUCAAAACCUCAAGUACGAGCUGGGCCCGGCGCUGUUCGUGGGCUGGGCCGGUUCCGCGCUGUUGUUGUUGGGCGGUUCCGCGCUGCUCUGCUCCUGCGGGAACCGAACCGGAACCGGAAAGGCCCGAUACCCACGUGUCAACAACGCGCCGAGGAAAGCCGGAAGCGGAAGUGCCACCGACUACGUUUGA